rnacentral:tRNA from 1 species
AUUUAUUUAGUAUAUAAGUACAUUUGACUUCCAAUCAAAAAGAUUGAAAUUUUCAAAAUAAAUA